AUUGGUCUUCGGGGCAAGGUGAUCCAAUCCAACUAUUGGAAAUUCCUGACCGGCGGUAAAAGCCCGCGACUCCCGUCAUCGACGGGACUGAAUCGGUGAAAUUCCGAUGCCGACGGUAUAGUCCGGAAGGGAGAAGAUCAAA
rnacentral:ncRNA from 2 species